rnacentral:lncRNA from 1 species
AUACAAUUGAGAAAAUCCCCUUUGUAACUAAAACUCAAUUUCUGCUGGAGGUGGGGUUAGCUUUCAUUAGAAGCAUGAUGCCUAUUCAGUGUGAAGACAACAAGGAUGGAGACAUUUAUAAUGAUCCAUUUCCACUUAGGGAAUAGCUCAGCAAAGAUCCAGUCCAGGGGAAAGUGAAGAAAAUGCAACUUGUUUAAGGACAGCCCCGUUUUUCUUUGAGAUUUU